rnacentral:rRNA from 1 species
AUGAGAAUCCAGUCCAAUAGCCCACACCGACCUAGUUCUCUUCUCCUCUGUUUGUGUUCAGCCCGUCGCUCCUCGCUAGCUGACUGGCUCGAACCUGGGCCCUGCUGCUCUCUACGUGUUGGUGUGGGCUAUUGGGCUGGAUUCUCAUUCACACAUGGGACCAUUUCACCGCGGACCCAGGGGCCAUGCACUCCAUUAUUCCUUCCCAACGACGUCACGCUUCCCCCGCCUCAUUCCUCCGUAGGUACCUCAUCAGUCACCUGGCUAAUCCUGGGUCGGACGCGACACGCUCCCAGCUGGGUCCAGUGUCUUUCUACUGGGACCCACGCGUCAGCGGGGCAACGGACCCCAAAAGGCAGCCGCUCCACUCGAGAAAAAAGGAAAGAAAGCGUAGCCACUCCUCCUACCCGCCAGGUCGUCCUAUCCGCCGUAUCCGGUUCCCGAUUCGACUCCACCCAAACCCCUAAUCCCCCUCCCACCACCAUAGCCGACGACCCCGCCUCCGCCACGCCCUCCCACUCCUCCUCCUCCGCCGACCAAGACGAGGGCACCGACAGAGACGCCUCCAACAACUCCCACCCACCCGCUGCCCAGGAGACCCCGCUUCCCAACUGCCCGACCCCGCCUCCUUCAGCCCCCGCUGCCGCUGCCUUCCCCAAACCAGCCGAUCCUGUCCGCCGCCUCCGCCGAGUGCCGCGGCGGCGGCGGAGGACUCGAGGCGGCUGUGGACGGACGAGGAGGAGCUGCUCAUCCUGCACGGGUUCCUCGAGUUCACGUUGCGCUGGGGCUCCGCCUUCGCGUCGCCACGGGCCCCUUCUACGAGGAGAUCCGCCGGAAGCUCUCCUUCGACUUCUACAAGAACCAGCUCAUCGAGAAGCUGCGCCGCCUCAAGAAGAAGUACCGCGUCUGCGCCACCCGCAUGGCCGCGCAGGGCGCCGCCUUCGCCUUCAAGAGCGUGCACGAGGGCGCCAUCUACGACGUUGUGCGCCACAUCUGGCGCCCGGCUUUCAAGUGCGACGGCGUCGCGACGACAUCAACCCCGCAAAAGCAGCAGCAGUCGCAGCAGCCGCCGCCGCCACCGCGGCUGCCUCCACGGAGCCGCCUGCUGCGAGCGAGGGUGGCAGCGGAGGUGCGUCUGCGCACACCCCUCGGGGCAGGGGCUCGCGGCGUGGAAGGAAGAGGACGGCGCAGGAGAUUGAGGCGCCCACAUUCCCUGCAACGCCUGCUCCGAUGUUGACCGAUGCGGCUCAUGAGCCAGCUAUCGCGGCGUUCGAGAGUUCUGUGGCGGUGAUUGCACAACCACCUUCAGUGCCGGCAGCACCAUUGCCUCCUUAUCCGCUGACAGCCAAUGGCCCCACUGAAGCUGAUGUCCGAAGCAUCCUGUCACCACUGCUGAAGGAGCUCAUCAACUCGGUUGCUUUUCCUGGGCAGACCGGACUAGGAUUGGGCUUGGGCAUGGGAUUCGGGGGUGCUGAUAUUCUUGGCGUUGGUCUUGGGGUGGCUGGACUGAGCCCUCGGGUGCCCGGUGAUGAGAAGUGGAGGCAGCAGCAGAUUCUUGAGCUGGAGGUCUACCUCAAGAGGCUCGAGCUUGUCCGGGAGCAGGUCAUGACGGUGCUACAAGAACUCGGGUCAUCAGGAAGCUGA